rnacentral:rRNA from 1 species
GUGCCAGCCGCCGCGGUAAGACGAACCGUGCGAACGUUGUUCGGAAUCACUGGGCUUAAAGGGCGCGUAGGCGGCUUGCCAAGUCAGGGGUGAAAUCUUUCGGCUCAACCGGAAAAGUGCCUCUGAUACUGGCGAACUCGAGGGGGUAGGGGCAGCUGGAACUUCCGGUGGAGCGGUGAAAUGCGUUGAUAUUGGAAGGAACGCCGGAGGCGAAAGCGACGCACUGGAUCUCUACUGACGCUGAGGCGCGAAAGCCAGGGGAGCAAACGGGAUUAGAUACCCCGGUAGUCCUGGCCCUAAACGAUGAGUACUAGAUUGUAUACUGAUCAUGGGUUUACAGUCGAAGCAAAAGUGUUAAGUACUCCGCCUGGGGAGUACGGCCGCAAGGCUAAAACUUAAAGGAAUUGACGG